GGACUGUAUCUGUCAUUUUUGCCGUCCAAUUACUGUCAAAAACUGGAACGGGCGAUGCCGAUUCCAGCUUUUGACAGUAAUUGGACGGCAAAAUUGACAGAUAAAGUCCG
rnacentral:pre_miRNA from 1 species